rnacentral:rRNA from 1 species
GCGGCGAGAGGGUGAGUAACGCGUGGUUACGUACCCUCAGGACCGGGAUAGUAGCGGGAAACUGCCAGUAAUACCGGAUAUCAUCUUCGGACCAAAGGUGUGACUCCGCCUGAGGAUUGGACCGCGUUCUAUUAGCUUGUUGGCGGGGUAAUGGCCCACCAAGGCUGCGAUGGAUACCGGGUGUGAGGGGAUGGCCCGGCUCACUGGGACUGAGACACUGCCCAGACACCUACGGGUGGCUGCAGUCGAGAAUCUUCGGCAAUGGACGCAAGUCUGACCGAGCGACGCCGCGUGCGGGAUGAAGGCCUUCGGGUUGUAAACCGCUGUCAGUUGGGAGGAAAUACUAGGGGGUUAUCCCCUUGGUUUGACGAACCUUCGGAGGAAGGCCGGGUUAAUUUGGUGCCAGCAGCCGGGGUAAGAGGAACGGUCCAAACGUUUUUGGGAAUCAUUGGGUUUAAAGCGUGCGUAGGCGGCCGCCUAGGUGAGAUGUGAAAGCCCCCGGCUCAACCGGGGAACUGCGUUUGAAACCGGCAGUCUUGAGGGGGGUAGGGGUGAUUGGAAUUCAUGGUGGAGCGGUGAAAUGCGUUGAUAUCAUCAGGAACACCGGUGGCGAAGGCGCAUCACUGGGCGCUUUCUGACGCUGAGGCGCGAAAGCCAGGGUAGCGAACGGGAUUAGAUACCCCGG